CCUGUACUUCAGUUUUUUUGUUGGAGUUAAGUUAUGUUUCUGUGACAACGUGCUGAAUCAAAAUAUAUCCUACACAAUGAGUUCCGAUGUAUUCGUUCUCUGGCUUGUUUUGAAAACAUUAACCGGAACCUUACUGUACUUCUUGCCGCUAUUGAGUGACAUGCUUCUGACAGAUAGCAUGGUAACACGCAGCUAAUGGCUUCAAACUCUUGAGCGAACAUGUUUGUUACAAACUGGGCUAAAAAAUAAACGUCCGCUCUCUUUUGGGACUCAUUUUCUACCUCCGUCCGUUCCUCGCCGUCUGAGGAUGUUUUCGUCUCUCUGGAAUUUUGUGAAGCGCCACAAAAGGAAAUUUAUUGUCACCGGAGCUGUAGUUGGAGGUGUCUACUUCCUGAGUAAAUAUGCCCAGUCAAAGAUCCGAGAGCUCCAGGAGAAGGAGGCGACAGAGUACAUCGCUCAAGCCAGACGUCAGUUUCACUUCGAGAGCAACCAGAGGACGUGCAACAUGACAGUUGUGUCCAUGUUGCCGCCUCUGAGAGAAGCCAUCAUCAACCAACUCAACUCUGAAAGUCUUACAGCCAUCUUGAAGACCAGACCAGCAAAUAAGGUGGAUAUCUGGGAAGAUUUAAAGAUCAUGAGCUUCACCCGCACCAUUGUGGCCGUGUACAGCACCUGCAUGCUGGUUGUUCUGCUGAGGGUCCAGCUCAACAUCAUAGGAGGUUACCUGUACCUUGACAACUCUGUGGGAAAGCCCCCCGCGUCUCCUCAGGCUACAGCAGAGGUCCAACAGCAGUACUUAUCCAGCAUCCAACAUCUCCUUGGAGACGGCUUGACACAGUUGAUAACAGUCGUGAAGAAAUCAGUGCAGAACUCUUUGGAUGGCGUGUCCUUAAAGCAAAGUCUCAGUCUGCUGGAGUUAGAGCAGCAGCUCAGUUGGAUUCGAGCGGAGGUGGAAGCCGGUUCUGAGCACCCGCUGACCUGGUACAUGAUGGCCGACAACGAAAACGCACUAGCUGACCAGGCGUGCGGGCUGACAGAAAACGACGUCCUUACUCUCCGCCUGUUAAACGAAACCAGAGACGUGCUGGACAGCCCAAACUUUAGCGUCGUUUUAAACUCCUGCCUGCAGCGUGGCUUCUCUCGUCUCCUUGACAACCUGGCCGAGUUCUUUCGCCCGUCCCUUGACGAUUCCACUUCCAGCCGCAGUCCUGACAGUCUGUUUGUCGUUAGUCUUCCGCUGGCGAAGAUCAUCCCCAUUGUCAACGGGCAGAUCAAUACCAUCUGCAGCGAGACGCCAGGUCAUUUUGUUCAAGACCUGCUGAUGAAUGACCACGUUAAAGAGUUUGCCGCCAUCGUAUACGAAAGCUUCAGCACGCCGCAAGAGUUACAGAAGUAGACUUGACAGGAAGUAAGACUAAUUUUUUGGUUUACUGUGCUGGACUCAGCGUUGCAUUGCUGAAUGGGAGCGAAUCGAAGCAGGCGGCCUGUUUUUGGUGCCCCCACAAAGGCGAGAGGGCUACAGGAAGCUUGUCCAUCCCGACGCUCAGCACUAUCUCUGCAGCCCCAUCUCUUCAUCCACAACUCUUCCGGUCUAUCCACACGAACUCCAGGGUGGCAGAGAGCCAGCAGCUUGUCUGUGGUGCAAAAAUGGCCAUUACCAAAAGGCUCAUCCAAGGCAGAUCCAAAAAAACACUACAGAGGUAACAAAAGUACCACCCCUUAUUCUUUAGUCCCAAAAGGCAAUAACACAUAAAACAACACCAAAAACACAAAAGGAGCACAGAGCUCCUUCUUCCAGCAGCCGCUGCAGCGCCGCCAUCUAUGUUGUGUACUCUUCUGUGUGUUUUGUUCAAUUGUCUGUUCUAUUUUCUAUUCUUUGUUCUACUCUAAGUUAUAUCGGUUCUAUUUAGUUUUCUACUUUGAGUGUUAUGUGUUCUACUCUUUGUUCUUUUCUAUGGGUUUUACUCUGUCUAAUGGCCGAAAGUUAAUGGGCGGCCGAGGAUGGAGUCUGCUCUCUUGGUUGCUUUGUUGGGUCUGCUCCUGUGUCUGUUCAUGCUCCUCCCACCCCAGCAGACGAUGGCAUGGAACACCGCAUAGGCCACCACAGUGUAUAUGUUUUGUUUUUGUUUUUACUUUUGUAGCUAUAUAUGCAUCAGCUCUGCUCUUUUAAUGUAUUUUAAUGGCCUUCGUGUUCUUUGUUGUUUGAUGUUUCCCUCUUACACACAUGCUUAUGUGUGCUUUGGCAGUGACAUUUUUUUUUCUUGGCCUCAGUCUGGACCCACUCUCCAGGGGCCCAGGCUUAGACUGAAUAUAUAUUUUUUCUCCCGCCCCCCAGCGUUUGCCUGUUUCUCACCCUUUUUGUAAGGGGUGCCUGAAGUUGGCAGACCCGUCAGCGAUCCUGUUCUGUCUCCCUGUAAUGUCUGUCUGCUCUUGAAUGAGAUUGUGUUGACAAUUUUAAUUUCCCCUCAGGGAUCAAUAAAGUACUUCCGACUCUGAUUCUGAUUCUAUCCAUACGAGAACUAUGUGUGUUACUCUUCUGUGUUCUAUUCUAAGGGUACUACUGAACUGAUGUUCUAUUCUUUGUCUUCUACUCCACAAGAGUCUGUGCUCUACUCAGUGUUUCAUUCGUUGCAUAUUGCUUCUAGAUCGUUUUCAAGAGAAAUGUGUUCAUGUUUUGGAGAAAACAUCAGCAACCUCUUGGUUCUGCUGCCGUGUUGCCAUGGUAGCACUGACCAAACAUUUUUGUGUUUUUCAAGAUCUUCAACAAAUCUACAUGUGUCAGUAAGCGCUGACAGCAAACUUUCAUUUUUCUUUCUUUCUGUCCUAUCUGGACGGCAGAACAGAAAGUGGAGGCGUCAUCAUAGUGAAACCUUAAAUGUUGUCAAAGGUCACCCAGUUUAACUUGGGUUCAUCAGGGUUUCUUUAAAACGUGGGUGUUCAAAAGUGUUAAUUUAGACAGCUGUUUUUAAUUUGGUUUUAGUUAUAGUCAGAAGCAGUCUAGCACUGAACAGGCUCCUCAGUAGCCAGAGGAGCCUGUUCAGUGCUAGACUGCUUCAUCCCAAGUGCAGGACUAAUAGACUCAAGAACUCCUUUGUCCCACACGCCAUUAGACUGUACAACUCCUCUCUGGGACGGGGGACGGGGGUAUUAGGAUGACAGGGGAUGCAAAACAUUAACAGUGCAAUACGUUUUCAUAACAUGGUCACUACUGCCUACUUUGUCUUGUUAUAUUCUUAUUUUACUGUUAUAUUGUUAUUCCCAUUGUUUUUAUUCUUUUUGUAAUAUUUCUCUAUUUUGUUUCCUUUUAAACCCCCAUUAUUUACUUUUUACUUUUUUCUUUAAAUUGAUCUCAACUCUGUACACUGCUGCUGGAAUUUUAAUUCUCCUGAAGAAACUCUCCUGAAGGAAUCAAUAAAGUACUAUCUAUCUAUCUAUCUAUCUAUCUAUCUAUCUAUCUAUCUAUCUAUCUAUCUAUCUAUCUAUCUAUCUAUCUAUCUAUCUAUCUAUCUAUCUAUCUAUCUAGUCUUUGGGCAAAAAUCUAUUUUACUUUUAGUCAUCUGUAUUAUUUAGUUUUAGUCCAGUUUUUGUCCAAAAUUACAGUAAAUUUUGUUGACUAAAAUUGAAAGUACAGCGGACAACGCAUCUUUGAAGCUGUCUUGAAAGCACUUUUAUUUAUUUUUAUUGCAGAACAAGACUUGCACUCUGUGAGUACAUUUCACACUAAAACUUAUUGAAAUUGUUUUAGCGGAUAUUUAGCAUUUUUUCACAUGACUAAAAUGGUCACAUGAAGAAACAAACUAGUUUUAUUCGAGAUUGGCGGGCAAGCUCACCUAUGCGUAGAACAAAAGUAGUGGUAGAGUAAGCAGUCUUGCUCCUUCUCUGCUGUCUUUAAUAGUAACAGUAAUUCAGUACAGUACGAGUCAUUUGGAAAUAUUAAUUAAAGCCUAUUUACUGUUGUGUAGAUGUACUGAUGAUUAGCCUGCAGAAGACGCUUCAAGUUGGUUGUAUUUUACCAGAGAAAUGGACCCACAGAGUUUAUGUGUCUUGUUGUCUACCUUGCAAAGGUAAAGUGUGUCCUUAUGUCUUCUCUUUCCUCCAGUGGUAGAAGACAUAUUGUAAUGAUGUGUGUAACAAUACAGAUUAGGGAUGUAACGAUAUAAAAUGGGUUAUACUUUAGAUUAAAAUUAAAUUAAAUAAAAAAAUCGGUCUAAGCCUGGGCCUCUGGAGAGGGGGUACAGACUGAGGCCAAGGGGGAAAAAAAACAAAAAACUCAGCCAUAGUACACAUCAAACAUCAAAGACAACAAAGGACAUGAAAGACAUUAAAGCAGCGGAGCUGAUACAACCAGCCACUUCUAUAGACAGCUAUGAAUAAAAAGUAAAAGAAAAAUAUGCACUGUGGCACCAGGCCUCUGCGGUAUUCCACGCCACCGUCUGCUGGGGUAGAAAGACCAUGGCCAGAUACAGGAGCAGACCCAACAAAGCAACCAAGAGAGCUGACUCCACUCUCAGCCGCCACCCAACUCUCGGCCAGUUUCCAGCCUGCAUGGAUGAACGAGGAUACGUCCAAGGAGACUGAGGUGUCCGAUACCUGCUCAUUCAGCCAAGACACUGUGAAGCUUGUCCCUCCCAGCACUCAGUGCUAGUUCCAAGGUCCUGUCCUGUCAUCCGCAUCUCCUCCAACCUCUCCAAACUGACUCUGGUGUAGCAGAGACCCAGCAGCUGGUCUCCUUGGCCAAAAGGCUCCCGGGAGGCAGAUCCAGAAGUCCACAAAAAACACCGCAGAGGUCACGAAAGUGCCACCCCUUGUCACACAGUCCCAAAGGGUCCCGGACCAAAAGGCAAAAAAAAAAUAUAUAUAUAUAUACAUAUAUAUAUAUAUAUAUCAUGGUUCUUACACGUCAGCACAGACACUUUAUACUUUACGAGUCCAUUUUGAAAUAAAGCCUGUGUGUGACGACAUG